rnacentral:rRNA from 1 species
CCUAGAGAUGGAUUGGUGCCUCGGGAACUCUGACACAGGUGCUGCAUGGCUGUCGUCAGCUCGUGUCGUGAGAUGUUGGGUUAAGUCCGUAACGAGCGCAACCCUUGUCCUUAGUUACCAGCACGUUAUGGUGGGCACUCUAAGGAGACUGCCGGUGACAAACCGGAGGAAGGUGGGGGAUGACGUCAAGUCAUCAUGGCCCUUACGGCCUGGGCUACACACGUGCUACAAUGGUCGGUACAAAGGGUUGCCAAGCCGCGAGGUGGAGCUAAUCCCAUAAAACCGAUCGUAGUCCGGAUCGCAGUCUGCAACUCGACUGCGUGAAGUCGGAAUCGCUAGUAAUCGUGAAUCAGAAUGUCACGGUGAAUACGUUCCCGGGCCUU